UACAGAGGGUGCAAGCGUUGUUCGGAAUUAUUGGGCGUAAAGCGCGUGUAGGCGGCUUUGCAAGUCGGGUGUGAAAGCCCUCAGCUCAACUGAGGAAGUGCGCCCGAAACUGCAGAGCUUGAGUACCGGAGAGGAUGGCGGAAUUCCCCCAAGUAGAGGUGAAAAUUCGUAGAUAUGGGGGAGGAACACCGGUGGCGAAGGCGGCCAUCUGGACGGAUACUGACGCUGAGACGCGAAAAGCGUGGGUAGCAAACAGG
rnacentral:rRNA from 1 species